GGGGGAAGACAUCGUGCGAAUCGCUGACUUAGAGCUUGAAAAUCAAGGAAUCGGCGAUUCAAAAUCUGGGGGUCUGAGCGAUCGAGAAAGGGCAAAAGAGUGUUGUGAGGGUUUGGGGAAAACCUCUCCACUAUUUAUAGGCCUUGGGAAAAUUGCAAAAAUCCCCCAGAGAAUCCAAAAUUUACGAAAUUUGAGAUCAAGAUUCGAUCUCCAAAUCCC
rnacentral:lncRNA from 1 species